UACGGGGGGGGGCAAGCGUUGUUCGGAAUUACUGGGCGUAAAGGGCUCGUAGGCGGCCAACUAAGUCAGACGUGAAAUCCCUCGGCUUAACCGGGGGAACUGCAUCUGAUACUGGAUGGCUUGAGUUCGGGAGAGGGAUGCGGAAUUCCAGGUGUAGCGGUGAAAUGCGUAGAUAUCUGGAGGAACACCGGUGGCGAAGGCGGCAUCCUGGACCGACACUGACGCUGAGGCGCGAAAGCGUGGGGAGCAAACAGG
rnacentral:rRNA from 1 species